AGCGACGCCGCGUGGGGGAUGAAGGCCUUAGGGUCGUAAACCCCUUUCAGUAGGGACGAAAAUGACGGUACCUACAGAAGAAGCUCCGGCCAACUACGUGCCAGCAGCCGCGGUAAGACGUAUGGGGCGAGCGUUGUCCGGAUUUAUUGGGCGUAAAGGGCUCGUAGGCGGUUACGUAAGUCGGAUGUGAAAACUCGAGGCUCAACUUCCAGACGCCAUCCGAUACUGCGUUGACUUGAGUCCGGUAGAGGAGUGUGGAAUUCCUAGUGUAGCGGUGAAAUGCGCAGAUAUUAGGAGGAACACCUAUUGCGAAGGCAGCACUCUGGGCCGGUACUGACGCUGAGGAGCGAAAGCAUGGGUAGCAAACAGGAUUAGAUACCCUGGUAG
rnacentral:rRNA from 1 species